rnacentral:lncRNA from 1 species
GCGGGCAGCAGCGAGGACGGCGUGGAAACGCAACCGCCCGGAGGAAAGGCGGGAAACAGCGGGAAGGGAGGUUUGCCGCCCCCUCUUCCUGUGGUGACCUCCACCUCUUACAAAAAUCACCACCGACGUGUGGGAACCGUGCUCGCUGACUGAAAGCAAAGCUCAGCUGACCUGUGAGGAGGCCCCGGGGAGCUGCCGCGGUGGUCGCCGCUGAGUCCAUCCGUGCCGCUGGGCCGAGGCAGCUGGAGAUGUGGUCAACUGGCUGAUGGGCAUGGCUGUGGGACCCCAUCAUUCCCCUGCCCUGCAUGACUCUGCUCUCCCAGCUCGACUGCUUACUUCAGACUUCCCUAAUGGAAGGAGUUGCCAGAUAGAGCAAGUAAAAUACAGUGUGCCAGACACAGGUUUAUUUCAACACUGGGAAGGCUCCAUUCCUACUUAAACCCAGCAGGGAACAGGGAGCGGUGUGCAGAGGAGGUGGCCUGCCCGCGAAGCCGGCCUUGGUGCUGGGACUGCAGGGAGAGGGCUGUGAGGAAGAGCACAGGCUUCAUGCACAUUGCACAGAGGAGGAGAUUCAUGGGGACAGCAGGCACUGGUUAGGCACAGCAGGAAGGUUAUCGAAGACAAAACACAUUUCUAUCCCAGUUCAAAUGACCUGCUAUGCCCACAGAGCUUGAUCCAGAAGUGCACAG